GGGUCGAUGGCGUAGCCGGUUAUCGCAUCUGUCUUACAUUGCAAACGACGUAUUACCGUACACAGAAGGACCUCAGUUCGAUCCUGGGUCGACUCA